UACGUAGGGCGCAAGCGUUGUCCGGAAUUACUGGGCGUAAAGGGCUGGUAGGCGGCCAACUAAGUCGGAUGUGAAAUCCCCAGGCUUAACCUGGGAACUGCAUCCGAUACUGGUCGGCUUGAAUCCGGGAGAGGGAUGCAGAAUUCCAGGUGUAGCGGUGAAAUGCGUAGAUAUCUGGAGGAAUACCGGUGGCGAAGGCGGCAUCCUGGACCGGCAUUGACGCUGAACAGCGAAAGCUAGGGGAACAAACGGG
rnacentral:rRNA from 1 species